rnacentral:rRNA from 1 species
AAUCAACGCUGGCGGCGUGCCUAACACAUGCAAGUCGAACGCGAAAGCCCCGCGAAGGGCAAGUAGAGUGGCAAACGGGUGAGUAACGCGUCGGGUGACCUGCCUUCGAGUGGGGGAUAACGUUCCGAAAGGGACGCUAAUACCGCAUGACAUCCCGUCUUUGAACAGACGGACAUUAAAGCCGGGGAUCGCAAGACCUGGCGCUUGAAGAGGGCCCGCGUCCGAUUAGCUAGUUGGUGAGGUAACGGCUCACC